CGGGAUCGAUGAUGAUUUGAAGAAUCUGCGUUAUCUAUCUGCAAAUUCCUUUAGAGGAACUGAUGAUGAUGAUGAUGAUGAUGAUGAUGAUGAUGAUAAGUGUUAUCUCCCUCAGAUCUGAUUUCUCUAUCUACG